ACGCACCCCCGCUCAGUGAGUUCCGAGUCGCUCCACCAUCACCCUCGCUAUCUACUGCUGCUUUGAAACCGAGCUGCACUCGCCUCAUGAUUGAUUCUGUCGCUCGCCGUCUUUAGAAACUUCGGUGAUCUUCUCUCUUUCUCUCUUCUUUUCCUUCUUCCGGUUCGAAUCGCGUUUUCGUUUUGUGCAUUCUUAUGUGUUUUGACAGAGCGAUGUUUAAUGCUCUUGUCGUUUUGCUCAUCAAAGGGUUCAUGUCCGGAAUUUUUUUCUUUUUUCCUUGUUUCCAAUCGUGAAUCCAAGACCACUUGGAAACGAGCGAAGAUUGAACUGAAAACGUCGUGAGAAAUCACCACAGCGAACGAGAGUUGUGCAGAGUUAAGCUCGGUCGAACAGUGAUUUCUGAGCGGCUUGGGACUUGGAGAUGGGAGUGGCGCCGAUGAGUUAUGACAUGGAAGAGGGGAUGCUGGAGAUCGGCAUGGAGUGUAGGACCGUCUAUGGUGUUCUUGGGCCGUUGGUUAUACUCGACAAAGUCAAGGACCAAAGUUUCAAGAGAUAGUAAAUAUCCGCUCGGGAGAUGGAACGACUAGACGUGGGCAAGUCCUUAAAGUUGAUGGAGAGAAAGCUGCUGUGUAGGUUUAGUCUAAGCUGCCAGCCUCUUCUUUUUUGCUUUAGCUCUCUUGAAACUGCAUUUUUGUUGGUUGGACUGCAUUAGUUGGGUCACUUUUGUGUGCAGUACUUUUCAGCUAAUGACCUAGUGAAAUCUCUGCCGUUCAUUACAAGCAUCAGAAAAAGCAGAACAUGAAA